GGGGGGACGGAGAAGGCUAUGUUGGCCGGGCGACGGUUGUCCCGGAUUAAGCGUGUAGGCUGGUUUUCCAGGCAAAUCCGGAAAACCAAGGCUGAGGCGUGAUGACGAGGCACUACGGUGCUGAAGCGACAAAUGCCCUGCUUCCAGGAAAAGCCUCUAAGCAUCAGGUAACAUCAAAUCGUACCCCAAACCGACACAGGUGGUCAGGUAGAGAAUACCAAGGCGCUUGAGAGAACUCGGGUGAAGGAACUAGGC
rnacentral:rRNA from 1 species